rnacentral:rRNA from 1 species
AUUGAACGCUGGCGGCAGGCCUAACACAUGCAAGUCGAGCGAGUGGCGGACGGGUGAGUAAUGUAUGGGGAACUGCCUGAUGGAGGGGGAUAACUACUGGAAACGGUAGCUAAUACCGCAUACCAUCGGAUGAGCCCAUAUGGGAUUAGCUAGUAGGUGGGGUAAAGGCUCACCUAGGCGACGAUCCCUAGCUGGUCUGAGAGGAUGACCAGCCACACUGGGACUGAGACACGGCCCAGACUCCUACGGGAGGCAGCAGUGGGGAAUAUUGCACAAUGGGCGCAAGCCUGAUGCAGCCAUGCCGCGUGUAUGAAGAAGGCCUUCGGGUUGUAAAGUACUUUCAGCCGGGAGGCGUUACCCACAGAAGAAGCACCGGCUAACUCCGUGCCAGCAGCCGCGGUAAUUC